GGGUCAGUAGGUUGGUCGUGCCACCGGUACGUACUGGUCUCACUGAUUCCUCCUUCCUGAAUAACCGUAAUGCCAUUAAUUGGGUGUUGCGGGGAAACAGGACUGUUACUUUGAAAAAAUUAGAGUGUUUAAAGCAAGCUAACGCUUGAAUACAUUAGCAUGGAAUAAUGAAAUAGGACGAUCGAUCCUAUUUUGUUGGUUUCUAGGAUUGACGUA
rnacentral:rRNA from 1 species